CCUACGGGCGGCAGCAGUGGGGAAUAUUGGACAAUGGGGGCAACCCUGAUCCAGCCAUGCCGCGUGUGUGAAGAAGGCCCUCGGGUUGUAAAGCACUUUCAGUGAGGAAGAACGCCUGGUGGUUAAUACCCAUCAGGAAAGACAUCACUCACAGAAGAAGCACCGGCUAACUCCGUGCCAGCAACCGCGGUAAUACGGAGGGUGCGAGCGUUAAUCGGAAUUACUGGGCGUAAAGCGCGCGUAGGUGGCUUGAUAAGCCGGUUGUGAAAGCCCCGGGCUCAACCUGGGAACGGCAUCCGGAACUGUCAAGCUAGAGUGCAGGAGAGGAAGGUAGAAUUCCCGGUGUAGCGGUGAAAUGCGUAGAGAUCGGGAGGAAUACCAGUGGCGAAGGCGGCCUUCUGGACUGACACUGACACUGAGGUGCGAAAGCGUGGGUAGCAAACAGGAUUAGAUACCCUGGUAGUC
rnacentral:rRNA from 1 species